CUGAAAGGAGGGAUGGAGCAAAUUUGAAGACAACAUGCUGGCUGAAGAGACAGAAAAUAGAAACUGUUACCCAACCAACAAGGAACCCAAAAAAAACACUGGAGCAACAGCUGACAAGAGGCCAAAUGAGCAGAAAAAAACAGACAAUAAGAGGAAAAUGGCAGCAGUGAAGAAAGAAACAAACUCAGCUGUGGAUGGACUAAAAGACGGGACAGUUUUCUUCAGAGUGGAGUCAUUCUUACCAUCAACUUUGUGGGAAACCACGACUACAAAGAAAAAUAUGGUGAGUAGAAAAUCUUACAGUGAUAUCAUAUUAUAGUGUAUCUCAUUUUCUUACAUUUAUAUGUUAGUAAAUUCUGUUGGAUGUGGAGAGAAACUUGUAAAGUUCAUUUUGAGUGUGAGAAAAGUCAACACAUAAGCUGUUAUUGUCCCUCAUCAGCAAGAGAAGAAUGGACAAGAGGACACCUUCACUCUCAUAUCAAAACACAGAUAAAAUUAUUACCCAUAUAUUGAUUCUCUUCUUUGUUCUUUAUAGAGACAGGCUGCAUCAAAACUUGGUCUGGCUCCCUGUACAGCAAAGACGCAGGUCAUGAAGAUAAUCUCCAAAUCCAGCAACCCAUAAAGGACAAGUCCCCCGAGCAGGUGUAAAAGUCCACAUACUUGGGCAGCAUUGUGGACACUGUGGCAGGGACAGAGGCUGAACAACGAGCUCCAGAAGAUCACAACACCACUCACAGAGUUUCUACGGGUCCUUGAAAAGUCUUUCUGAAAAAUAUGAGGAAUGAGUGGUUGGCAGAGGACAAAGAGGUGACUUGGCAGGUAUGACAUAAAGCUUUUAGAUACAGGAUAUGUAGUGAAAUAUGCCACACUUGUGCAGUUUGCUCUGUUGUGCAUGAGAAGAAUUAAAUUCUGCAAUUUUUAAACUUAUAUGUCCUAAAUUUGAUUUCAGAAAACACGCAGCAAGUCUAGUUCAAAAGAGGCUGAACUAAGAGGAGACCUGGCAGAAAUGUCCAGAUGAGGACUGAAGUCAGGGGGUGAAGAAGGAGGGACAGCCAGUCACAGAGGAAAACAGAAAACAGUCCUGUGAGCAGCAAAGGACCCAGAGCCAACUAUGUCAAGUCUUAGGAGGAACCAGACCACCCACAGCAAACCCAUGCACGUACAGGGAGAACAUACAGACAGGGCACAGAAAAGUCCCUGUCCAGCCCAGGAUUCAGACCAGGAACCUUCAUGCUGUGAGGCACCAGUGCUAACUUCUGCACCAUCAUGACACCAAGGUAAAACAUACAACUUUUAUUAUUCUUAUCAUCAAAAGUCUGAAAUGUUCAAAUGAUUCCCCUGGUUGUUGAAGGUCUUUACUGUUGUCUUAAUUUAUCUUUAAUUUGUUUUCAUCAGGGAAGAGAAAAUGAGUCCAGAUCAGAGAUGGCCAGAGGAGACAGCGAGAACUUUGAACCAAAAUAAUAGUAA